rnacentral:rRNA from 1 species
AACGAACGCUGGCGGCAUGCCUAACACAUGCAAGUCGAACGAGACCUUCGGGUCUAGUGGCGCACGGGUGCGUAACGCGUGGGAACCUGCCCUUAGGUUCGGAAUAACUCCCCGAAAGGGGUGCUAAUACCGGAUAAUGUCUUCGGACCAAAGAUUUAUCGCCUUUGGAUGGGCCCGCGUUGGAUUAGCUAGUUGGUAGGGUAAAAGCCUACCAAGGCGACGAUCCAUAGCUGGUCUGAGAGGAUGAUCAGCCACACUGGGACUGGGACACGGCCCAGACUCCUGCGGGAGGCAGCAGUGGGGAAUAUUGGACGAUGGGCGAAAGCCUGAUCCAGCAAUGCCGCGUGAGUGAUGAAGGCCUUAGGGUUGUAAAGCUCUUUUACCCGGGAUGAUAAUGACAGUACCGGGAGAAUAAGCUCCGGCUAACUCCGUG